rnacentral:rRNA from 1 species
AAGUGGUCCCGGACUGCCAUCAAAUUCGACCAGUCUGACCAUCCAGCACGUAUAGCCACCCCUGGGAGGCAAGCGCUGGUGGUCGACCCAGUUGUUGAAGGCACUCGACUGACUAAAGUGUUGAUGGAUGGUGGUAGUGGCCUGAAUAUCCUGUAUGCUGAGACCUUGAAGGGAAUGGGCAUUCUGAUGUCCAAGCUUAGUGAAAGCAAUAUGAGUUUCCAUGGCGUUAUACCUGGCAAGAAGGCUGAAUCACUCGGCCAGAUCGCCCUUGAUGUGGUUUUCGGUGAUUCCAAGAAUUACCGCAAAGAAAAGUUGACAUUUGAAGUAGUGGAUUUCUAG